AAGCGUGCGCAGGCGGUUUUUGUAAGACUGUCGUGAAAUCCCCGGGCUCAACCUGGGAAUGGCGAUGGUGACUGCAAGGCUAGAGUUUGGCAGAGGGGGGUAGAAUUCCACGUGUAGCAGUGAAAUGCGUAGAUAUGUGGAGGAACACCGAUGGCGAAGGCAGCCCCCUGGGUCAAAACUGACGCUCAUGCACGAAAGCGUGGGGAGCAAACAGGAUUAGAUACCCUAGU
rnacentral:rRNA from 1 species